AACGAACGCUGGCGGCAGGCUUAACACAUGCAAGUCGAACGAUGUAGCAAUACAUAGUGGCGCACGGGUGAGUAACGCGUGGGAAUGUACCUUUUAGUGGGGGAUAACUCCGGGAAACUGGAGCUAAUACCGCAUACGCCCUUCGGGGGAAAGAUUUAUCGCUAAAGGAUCAGCCCGCGUGAGAUUAUGGUAGUUGGUGAGGGAAUGGCUCACCAAGCCGACGAUCUCUAGCUGGUCUGAGAGGACGACCAGCCACACUGGAACGGAGACACGGUCCAGACUCCUACGGGAGGCAGCAGUGGGGAAUAUUGGGCAAUGGAGGCAACUAUGACCCAGCCAUGCCGCGUGAGUGAUGAAGGCUCUAGGGUUGUAAAGCUCUUUCGCCGAUGAAGAUAAUGACGGUAGUCGGAGAAGAAGCCCCGGCUAACUUCGUGCCAGCCGCCGCCGUAA
rnacentral:rRNA from 1 species